AGUGAACGCUGGCGGUAGGCCUAACACAUGCAAGUCGAACGGCAGCACAGUAAGAGCUUGCUCUUACGGGUGGCGGGUGGCGGACGGGUGAGGAAUACAUCGGAAUCUACUUUUUUGUGGGGGAUAACGUAGGGAAACUUACGCUAAUACCGCAUACGACCUACGGGUGAAAGCAGGGGAUCUUCGGACCUUGCGCGAUUGAAUGAGCCGAUGUCGGAUUAGCUAGUUGGCGGGGUAAAGGCCCACCAAGGCGACGAUCCGUAGCUGGUCUGAGAGGAUGAUCAGCCACACUGGAACUGAGACACGGUCCAGACUCCUACGGGAGGCAGCAGUGGGGAAUAUUGGACAAUGGGCGCAAGCCUGAUCCAGCCAUACCGCGUGGGUGAAGAAGGCCUUCGGGUUGUAAAGCCCUUUUGUUGGGAAAGAAAAGCAGCAGGUUAAUACCCCGCUGUUCUGACGGUACCCAAAGAAUAAGCACCGGCUAACUUCGUG
rnacentral:rRNA from 1 species